GCCGGCAGCUAGCUCUCUGCAACUCUCACUUGGUCUGGUACUGAAGCUAAGCAGGGCUGUGCCCGGUCAGUACCUGGAUGGUAGACCACAAGGGAAAGGUAGGUUGCUGCCGGAA
rfam:Danio rerio chromosome 6 genomic contig WGSCTG195, GRCz11 reference primary assembly.